CUAGCGUUGUUCGGAUUAACUGGGCGUAAAGGGUGCGUAGGCGGGUUUUUAAGUCAGGGGUGAAAUCCCGAGGCUCAACCUCGGAACUGCCUUUGAUACUGGAAAUCUUGAGUCUGGGAGAGGUGAGUGGAACUGCGAGUGUAGAGGUGAAAUUCGUAGAUAUUCGCAAGAACACCGGUGGCGAAGGCGGCUCACUGGCCCGGAACUGACGCUGAGGCACGAAAGCGUGGGGAGCAAACAGG
rnacentral:rRNA from 1 species